CUAAAAAUACAGUCCUACUUAAAAUCACGCGAUCUUUCUAACGAACGUGGUUGCAUAACGAUAUGACGUCAAACUGGCGGGGGUGCGGGGUAGUAUCUUCGUCUCUUUCGCGCUUUUGCACGUGUUGGUUUGAACAACACUGUCGUAUUCAGUCUUACUCGCGGAGUUGUGAUGAAAGGACGUCGUUCGUUUGUGAUAUACAGUUUUAACCUUGAAAAACGCAGUGUUCAUUAAAAGAAUGAUUUCGCAAAGAGUUACCUUAAUCAGAAACGCUGUUAAAGAUAAUCCAAGAGAGGGAGAAUCCGCAUUAGUUUCUUAUGAUGAGACCGUGAAUAUUAUGUCUACUCAAGCGACUAAUCAAGAAUGGUGCCCGAUGAUAGUCCUGAAGAACCAAUAGCUUCAUCUUCUACUUUCAAUGACACAUCUAACAACACAACAGGUAAAAUUGUAGGCAAUGUCUCCAAAAAGUUUUAAUUAUGUAGGUUAAUUGUGUAGGCUUAUGAAAUUCAUAAUUUAUGUUUUUUGUUAAUUACUGAUUAUUCUU